AUGCUGGCACCCAGAGAAAGACAGAGUCAGAGCUGUCUGUCUUUGCAGACGGCCAUGCAGCUGCAGGUGUGGGGGCUGCUGAAUAAAGCCAUGUCUCAUCUACCUGCUGUCUCUCUAGUGUUCUUCCAGUUUCCUGCCCCACAUCCACCCACUCCCCUCAGCCCUCAGCUGGGGCUGGAACCUAACCCUGAGCAUACUUGGUGUAGUCAGCAGGAUGAGGUGAGUAGGUCUUCAGCCCCUGAGGCUCCCGGGUUGGCUAUGUGGCCACAGCAUGGGCUGUGGUACCCCGUGGCAGAGAUGCUGCUCGGGUAGGCCCCAGUGGAAACGUGGGAGGCAGUGAAUGGGUCUCCCAUGAGUGUGGAGAAGCAUCUGGAAGCUCACAGCACCAAGAAGGAAUGACCUUUGCCGGCAGAGUCGGAUGGGCGUUUCUGAUUCAGUCAGAAACUGAGUUUCAUGCUCAGUCCCUGCAGGACACAGCACAGAGGGAGAAGCUGGAUUCUAUCACAACUCAUCCCUCCCUUCAUCAGCAGCUGCAGCUGUGUGGACAGUUAGCACAAGGGCAGGAUGACCACACGUUAAUCGAGUGGCUAAUGGCAGCCAUAUGGACUGUUUGGAAUGACGCCAGAAAGAUACCAGAAACUGUGAGUAAAUGGCAGUCAUAUACUAAUUUGGUGCAGAUACUCUGAGAGCUGGGUAUGCAGCAGGCUGUUUGAUCUAAACACCCGGGGACCAGAUGAUGAACACUUUACCUCGCACAUGAGGAGUCUUGUGCUGGGCUCAUUGCCCCCGAGUGCUUUUGACUCUCUAGCUGCUGUUCUCACCCCAUAUGUGGGGUGCCACAUACAUGAAGUGACUACUGUUAUGGCAGUCCUGGGGGAGGCAGAAGGCAUCAGCUGGACCGGGGAACCCGUGCCAGAAAGAAGGGGAAGGUGCCCCCUCCGCAGAUAACCAUCCCAUGUGAUAAAAAGCAGCCUGGCAGGUGACCUGCAUGCAGAUGUGGAUUGAUUUACUUGCAGCUGGGGUUGCUCCGGAGAAAACUAACAGGCAACCCAAUGGAAUGCUCUUGGCUCUUUGGAGGCAACUGUCCCCAGAGCAGCAAUUCCGGAGAAUGCUUAAAUGGGGGGUGAAGCAAUGUUGUUCAACCCACUCCCGCCUGGACACCGCAACUCAAGGACUGUUUGCAGACAGGCGGAGAUAUGGAGCCUUUCUUGUUUGAUUAGGGAACUGGCUGAGAUAUGCAGCUCGGUGUGGGGAACCAGACAACCAGAGGCUGUAUGUGGUGCUAGUAAUCCGCUGGUCCCCGACUAAUGUACAGUGGGUCACAGCGGGUCCUAGCACUGGUAGAUACUGGUGCAGACUGCAGCCUAGUUUAUGGGAACCCGGAUAAGUUUUCUGGCAGAGCUGCAUUUAUUACCAGCUAUGAAAGCUGGUCAGUGAAAGUGAAACCUGUGUCUCUUUAUCUUGGCAUCAGCCACUUGGCUCUCCGCCUAUACACUGUGUAUGUCUCUCUCAUACCUGAAUAUAUUCUGGCAGUGGACAUUUUGCAUGGUCUGGACUUGCACACCAUGGCUGGAGAAUUCAGGCUCUGAGUUAGUGCAGUAAAGCUGAUACUGCAGGGACAAUACACAUCACCAGCCCAAGCUCUGCCACAACCCCAACAGGAUACCUCCACUCAUCAAUACUGUUUGUCAGGGGGGCAUACAGCCAUAACUGAGACUAUUCAGAAGUUAGAGGAGGUGCAAAUAGUGCAUGGCACCCAUAGCCCCUACAAUUCCCUGGUAUGGCCAGUCAGAAAGCCUGAUGGAACUGGGCGAAUACCAGUGGAUUAUCGGGAACUGAAUAAAGUAACACCCUCUCAGCAUGCAGCUGUACCCUCCAUCAUGGAUUUGAUGAACCGCUUGACAACGGAACUGGGACAGUACUACUCUGUGAUGAAUGUGAAUAAUGCAUUCUUCUCCACUGACAUUGCUCCAGAGAGCCACGAACAGCUUGCCUUCAUGGGAGGAUGACAAUGGACUUUCACAGUGUUGCUGCAGGGCUAGAUGCAUAGCCCCACCAUGUGUCAUCGUUUUAUUGAUAAUGUCAUAUUAACCUCCGAUUAUCUUGCAGAUUUGAAAGCGACAAUGCCCCUCUUGCCUGGGAUUGGAUGGUGAGGUUGAGACAGCUGUCCUGGCUAUCUCAAGCAGGCUAUUUAGCAGGCACAAGCCCUAUGGGUAGUUGAUCAGAGGUGCCCAUUUAGGCUAGAUGUGCAUGUGACCACAGAUAGUUUCAGUUAGGGCCUAUAGCAGUGCACGGAGUGCUUGAGUAUGCCAGUAGGCUUUUGGCCCCAACUAUGGAGCUGAGCUUGUCUUUAUUGAUAGAGAAGCAGUUAGUAAUAGCAGGAUGGGUAUGUUCAUGGAUAAUGACCCCCUGGACUGGGAAGCAGUUAGUAACUGCAUAUGCUGCCCUUCAGACUCAUAAGAGCAUGGCAGAACAGGCUACAGUCAUCAUGCAGAUGACUUACCCAAUAGCAGGAUGGCUGCUACGUUCAUGGGUAGCGACCCUUCCAGACUGGGACAGCACAGACUGGGACAGCACUUUAUCAAAGUGGGGCACCUACUUAGAGCAGUGAAGUACACUGAAUACAAGUCCCUUAGCAGCAGAGUUACAAGAGGUCUUAGGGCCUGUAGUCCUCAUGCAAGAUAAGGCCAUGGAGCCUGAGGCACCCCCGGCCCCAUUCCUGAUGAGGCAUAAUAUAUAGACAGGUCUAGCCAGAGUACUGCUGCUGCCUGGAUUGCUGCUGCAGUCCAGCCUACUACUGACAUUAUAUGGUUUGAUACCAAGAGUGGGCAAAGUAGCUAAUAAGUUGAGCUCAGGGCAACACGGAUGAGGAUCACCAAGGAGGUGACACCCAUGGUAAUCUACACCAAUGCUGGGCAGUUUAUCAACGCUUAACAUUGUGGUUAAUUACCUGAAAGUUACAGAAUUAGUUAGUCACCAGCCCAUGUAGGGCCAGGCCAUGUGGCCAGAUCUAUGAGAGGAAGGAUGACCCUCUCCAACCAGGUAUGGGGACAAACGGCAAUCUGUUAUUGCCUGCCCCAAUGCCCCUAAAGGUAGGGAAACAAACAAACAAACAAAACCUGGUGUUAGCCAUGGACCCUCCAAGCCCCUCACUGCAGAUGGUUGGCUAUCAUAGCCCCCUUGGGGGAGGGUCUGCAGUAUGACUUAUAUGUUAUUCCCUGGGUAUUUAAUGUGUGGCCUCCAUGAUUGACUGUUCGUAGGGGAAUAGCCAGGAAAGGAACCCUCCUCUGGUGGGGGGAACAUAUGUACUGUCUGUGUGGCCUAUUAUGAGCUCCCUUGUGACUUUGGCAUGGAUACAGGACCCAAAAGAACCACAAGCAGCUGAUAAGGUGUGGUACCAUCACCCAGGGCAGAAGCCCUUGGCAGCUACAUUGUUAUCUAGAGAUAAAAGUUGGCUUGCAUUUGGCCUAAGGGACAUGAUUUACCCUUGUUAGUAUCUGUGCCUACUUUGUCAUUCUGGCCGUAGGUUGGCAUGCUCCAACUGCAUUGUGGACUGGGCCCACACCUACGCUGAGGUGACCAAUGUCUCCAACUGUUGGAUCUGUACUACCCUUCCAGCAGCAGCUGUGGAUGGCUUGCCCUGGCACAUGCACCCAGCUUCUGUGAAAAACUGGACACGACUAGAAACUUGUGGUUCCACAGACAAUUGGUGGGAUGCAACACGGCAGGCUUUGGACAGGGGGUGUCGCAAAACCCAUGGCAAGCCUGCCCCCUGGCUGACUCGUAGUGUCUAUGAUGGGUGGGGCUGGCUAAUGGGAGAACACGUGGUGCCCCCAUCGCAGGUACCACGAUGCAUAGAGCAGCACUGGGGUGAAGUCACUGUGGGAUGGUGGCCUGCUGAGGUUUGUGCAAACAUAACAUGUCACCACACCAAGGGUGUUGUGGAACAAGCGGCCUUACCAAGGCUGGGCUCCAAUGGACUUUGUGCCCCCUGAGAGUUUAUGGGUCUGUGGGGCCCAUAAACCAAAUGGCGAUAUCUACCAGCCAAUUGGACUGGAUGUUUUACUUGGGGGUGGUUUUCUGUGCCUGCCACUGUGCUUCCCACAUUGCCUAGUUGCCCGAAUAACUGGGAGGCACUGCGUUCCCAGUUUUUGCCACCCUCUGGUGGCUCCACCCCUUAGCAAUAACUAUCCCUGGAGCAGGUGUCGUUACUAUAGAAAUGCAAGUUACAGCCCUUGCAGAGCACACAGCUCGGGCCCUGAAUUACACCCGAGUUGCUCUCCUUUUGCUAACUGAUGAGGUUGAUCAGAUCAGGAAGGUGGUGCUGCAAAAUCGGAUGGCCUUAAACAUAGUCACAGUUGCUCAGGGUGGCACCUGUGCCCUUGGAGGGACACAAUUUUGUACAUUUAUCCCUGACAUCCACUAGAACAUAAUGGUAGCUUUACAAGGGGUGUCACAGGAGAUUAAGGCUAUUGAGCACCUUACUGAUGACCCUCUGCAGAGACAGUGGGUGCCUCUGGGCACUACCCUAUGCUGGGCUCUAAUAAUCAUAGGUAACGUAACAGGAAUAUUUAUAGUAGGUUGUUGUUCUCUGUAUUGUUGUUGUGACCUAUGAGUUCAGGGUGCUGCCCUAUGUGCAUGGAUCCCCACUAAAAGAACUCCCUCAUUCCAGGGGGUGGAAUGUAAGGCCUGUGUGCCAAGCCUGUUUAUCAAACUCGUGUGCCCAAAACUUAUGUAUAAGGCCUUGUGUGUGUAUAUCAAGCCUAUGUACCCAAAGCUUAUGCAUAUAACCUGUAUCCAAGGCCUAUGUCUCCCUUGGCCUAGGGGGUGGAGUGUAAGGAACAUGGCUGUGCUUUGGUUAAGGAUAGGCCGAGGUAGGAUGUUUACAUCCUGUGUGACUCAGCAGGUUUAGAGCGCAGGCAUAUAACUCCACUUGUUAUCACAGCCAUGUAGCCAUACAUGGGAAGGCCAUCAGUUGGCUCUAUGCCACUAUUGUCUGUAAAAUGUAUGAUUGCCCUGUUGACGUUGUGCUGGUGCACUGGGAGAGAGAGUCAGAGCCGUCCUUUGCAGACAGACGGUGGGGGAGCCAGGACACAGCUUGGCUCACUUGUGCCCAGAGAAACAGUUAAGCUACUGACCCUGAAGCCAAGGGAGAGCUGGCCAUGCAGCUGCAGGUGUGGGGGCUGCUGAAUAAGGCCAUGUCUCAUCUACCUGGUGUCUCUCGAGUGUUCUUCCAGCUCCCUGCCCCACAUCCACCCACUCCCUCAGCCCUCAGUUGGGCUGGAACCUGACACUGAACACGACAAAGGCUGACCCCCAAAUGGUUUUAAAUUACAGUAAAACAAAAACCUCCUUCUAAAGGCCUUAAAAAUUGGAUAAUGACUUAGUUUCAUUCAAAGGAUAGAUUUUAAAAGCCCCUUAUAGCCAUAGCCAGACCUAGAGACCACUCAAAUCCAUAAUGAUACUGGAAUUAUAGAAUUUUAGAACUGGAAAGUAUUUAGGGGGAUAAAAAUCCAUUAAUCUAGUCAUUUUACAGAAAAUAAAAUGAGUUCCAGAAAAGUGAAAUUAUUUACAAAAGUCACACAGCUAAUUAGCUAUUAGAGCUAGGACUAGAAUUUAGUUAUCUUGACUCAAGAUAACCUGCUUUUGAAGUAUCCUUUUAUUACUUAGUUCUGUGACCUUGCUGAGAUUUUCUUAUAUAAAAGAUUGGAAAUAUGUAAAUAUUUAAAUUUUAUUCUUAAAUACUAUUUAUUAAUACAGAGAAAUACUCCUGCUAUAAUUUUAAGUGACACAAUAGUACAACAAUUGUUAAGAACAAUCCACCUGUGUCAAAGAGACACAUACACAAACACACAUCCAUAUACACAUACAAGCUUGGAGAAAAUUCUGAAAGGAUCUCAUUGUCCUAGAUGGUGGCAUUAUGGGCAAUUAUUUUGCAAAUGUCACCCAGUGAAGAAGCAAUGGUGCCUUUGGAAAGUAUGUAGCUCUUAGUUAAGCUUUUAUCUGGAAGGUGCUGGAGAAGGUCUGGGCACAGAGCUGGUUGGCUCCAUGGUUUUGUGACCUGUGCCAUCACAUAGGACCCCAUGUUCAGAAGGACCCCACUCUUGGUUUAAUGCUCUGCUGCCGUGUCUUGAAAUUCUUAAUAAUUUUUUUGAACAAGGGAUGCUGCAUUUUCACUGUGUUCUGGGCCUAAUGAUUAUGUAGUCAAUCUUGUCUGGCAGCUCUUCUCUGGCCCAUUCACUGGUAGAUGAUUGUGGGGUGGUUAUUUCUUUAAAUUUUUCAUUUAAAAAAAAUCAUAUUCAUAUUAUUAAAAAUUAAAAAAUAGAUUUGCAGAAAAAUUAGAUCACCCUUAGAACUCUCAAGGGCAGAUACAUUUUAACUAGCAUCUCUUCACACAUCACAAUGAUGCUUGGUGUUUAGUCUGAAGGAUAAAAAACAAUUCAGUAUUUUAUAGUAUAAAUUGCUAAACACAUAAUUACAAAAAAAGUAUGCCUGUGAAAUUAGGCUAUCUAUUCCUUGAGAGAUGGAAUUAGAUAUUAGUUUUCUAUUGCCACAAAUGUAGCAAUUUAAAGCAAGAGUUUAUUAUCUCCCAGUUUCUGUAGGUCAUAAGUAAGGCCAUAAUGUGACUGGGCUCUCUGCUCAAAGGUCUCACCAAGCUAUAAUCAAGGUGUCAGCCUGGACUGUGUUUCUCAUCUGAGGCUUGAGGUCCUCUUCCAAGAUCAAGUGGUUGUUGGCAGAAUUCAUUUCCUUGCAGGACUGAGGUCCCAGUUUCCUUGCUGGCUGUCAUCCAGGAACUGCUCUCAGCUCCUAGAGGUUGCCCACAUUCCUUACUACAUACCUGCGUCCAUCUUUAAGCCAGCAAUGGCCUAUAUGCUUCAACUCUCUGACUUUCUCUUCUGCAACCAGCCAAGAAAAUUCUUUGCUUUUAAAAGGCUCAUCUGAUUAGGGCAGGUCCACCUGGAUAAUUAGGUCAACUGUGCCAUAAAACGUAACCUAGUCAAGGUAGUAGAUACAUCAAAUUUACAGUAACAGGGUGUGUACAGUGGGGGUAAGUCUUGGGGACCAUUUUAGAAUUCUGCCUACUACAACUGUCCUAAAGAGACUCAUGUGACAAACAAGAGGUUUCUAUACUCUACUUCUCUAUCCAACCCUAUCAUGACUUUAAUAGUCUUUUCAGCCAGGCACAGUGAUGCCCACCUGUAAUCCCAGCACUUUGGGAGGCUGAGGCAGGAGGAUUGCUUGAGAUUAGCAGUUUGAGACUAGCCUGAGCAAUAUAGCGAGAACUUUGUCUCUGCUAAAUAAAUAAAUAAAUAAAUAAAUUGGGCAUGGUGGUGUGUCCCUGUAUUCCCCCAGCUACUUGGGAGGCUGAGACUGGAAGAUUGCUUAAGUCCAGGAGUUUGAGGUUGCAGUGAGCUGUGAUUGCAUCACUGCACUCCAGCCUGGGCUACAGAGACACUGUCUCCAAAAAAAAAAAAAAAAAAAACAAGUCUUUGCAAUUCACAUUUAACUCUAACAUCUCUAUUUUAUAAGUGCAUGUUUAAGCAUAAUAAAAACUGGCCAUGACAAAUUUGCUUAUCUUUGGGGAAAACAGAGAUCCUUUUGUUUGCAAAGAAAAAGAUUUAAAGAAGAAUCUUGCAUUCAAAAAGCCUAGUUAGUGUAUAUCAGUAUAUUUAUUUCAUUAAGUUUAAUACAACCUAAUGAGAUAAUAAGCCAUAUACUCAAUUUAAAUGUAUAUAUUUAAAAAUGAAGGUUAAGAACAUAUUAUCUAGAUACAUAUAAUCAAGUAUAAGAUUUAGAAAAUAUUAACACAAUAUAAUGCAAACAUUUGUCACAAAUAUGCGAAUGUUAGCAUCCUCCCUAUAUGAAGUACUCAGACAAAUAGAGAAGCAGAACACAAGACCCUGCAAAUAAAUGACCAAAGAACAUGCCCAGACAUUUAAGAAGUAGUAGAAAUGACUUAAGUCGGAUCUCAAUGAACUCAUAUUUAUUCGGUGUAUAGGAUGUGUGAGAUGCUGGCAUAUGGCAAGUACAGGGCUGCUAUUCAGCCAAAGGCACUGUUAGGGGGGUUUGUGGCCAGCAUCCAUUCUUAUUAGUUGGUGAUUAUUAUCUGAUAGGUUGGUGCCUUGGUGCCUUGUAGUGUUUGUUAAAUGUUUUGAUUAUUAGUGAAUGUGUGUCAAAUGCUUUAUCACCUCGUAGUAGGCUAAAUAAUGGCCACAGAAAGACAUCAUGUUCUAAUCCCUGAAACUUGUAAAUGUUGCCUUGUAAGAAAAAUGGGUUGCAGAUGUGAUUAAGGAUCUUAAAAAUGAGGGGAUUAUCCUAGAUUAUCUGGGCGGGUCCUAAAUGCAAUCCUUAUAAGAAAGGGGCAGAGGGGAAUUUGAUACAGAGAGAAGAGGAGAAAAGAAUGUAACUAUGAAGGCAGAGAUUGGAGUGAUGCAGCCAUAAGCCAAAGGCCUGUGGCCAUCAGAAGGUGGAAGAGGCAAGGAAUGAAUCCCCCCUAGGGCCCGCGAAGGACCGUGGUCCUAUUGACACCUUGAUUUCAGCUCAGUGAAACUGUUUUGGACUUUUGGUCUCCAAAACUGUGUUUUAAGUCACCCAGUUUGUAGUAAUUUGUUACAGCAGCCACAGUAAAUUAAUACAAUGCCUAAUUCAGUAAAUCUUCACAAUAAUCUCAGGAGAUAGGGAAUUUCAUUAUCCCCACUUAAAAGAAAACCACAAUAUUAAGAAGCUAUUUAUUCAAUUCAGAGCUAGAAUUCAAAUUCAGGUCUUUCUAAUUCAGAGUGGAGGUCUUACCACUAUGUUGCAUUAGAAAAUAAAAAUGAGAUUCCAGAAUUACUCUUUCUGGAGGAAGUGGGACUGGACUAAUCCUCCCACUGUAAAUAAUUUAAAAACUGGACAAAAGAUAUGAAAUAACAGUUUUCAAGCAUUGGUCAACAAGCAGUACAGAACUGUGGUCCCUGAGAGAGAAGAAACAAAUGAGGAGAGCCUUAUAAUUGCCUGUACUUUUGCCUGGAGACACAUUCCAGCCCAAGGUGCGGGGAGGGGGGGAUCCCCCAAACAGACCACAGUAGUCUUGUUGAGUUGAAGGAAUGGAGAUCAGUUUGGGGAGGCAAAAGUGGCUGGAAUUUGCAGGGCAGAGUACCAGAAAGGAAGAAGGUAAAUCAAGAAAGAGUUCCAGAAAUCUGCAAGGGAGGAUGUCCCCUUGAGUCUGUGGUUGAAUACUAAGAUAUACUUGUGUAGGAUGAAACCCAGUAAGUCUGGGCAGAGAAUGACCCUCGGAACUAUAAGCUAAACAAUUCCCAGAGCUCACACAAAGCUGGAAGACACUUGAGUCCCAAUCAGCCCCAGAGAAACACUGGUUUAAUCAACUGGGGAGCAAAGAAGAAAAGAGAAAAGACAAUACUUACGUAAAAAAGGCGGAAGAAAAAAAAGGAUGGCUACAUAGAAUAGAUAGAUAUAUGACAAAACAAGAAGAGUCAAAUGUUAAUGGUAGAAUCUAGAUAGUGGGCAUAUAGGCAUAUGCUAUAAAAUUAAAGGGUUAAUAAAAGAACAUUAUGAAAAACA